CCGUCCUCAGUAACAUUUCCAUUAAAAAAGACCUGCUGGGGGCUUGGAGCCCCAGUUAGGCGCUCACUCCUGCAGAGAUCCGCGCGGCCCCACCCUCCCUGUAGUCUCGGCGCGCAGCCAGGCCAGCGAGGGCGCACCGCGCUGCCUAACGCGCAGCAGAGGAGACUCCAGUCCCGAAACCCGAGAGGGGCCGCCCAGCGCUCUCAGCCGGCUCGCAGAGCCGGGGCCUGGCUCAGGGAGCUUCAGGGCAAGAAACACCCGAGGUGGGAAGCCAGAGCGAGCAGCCGAUUCUCACUCCUGCCGCCUAAGGCAGCCCCUCCGAGCCGAGGGCAUCGGCCGUCCGCCUCCUCACAGGGGCGCCCUUUCCUCGGCCACCCGGGCGGUGAUAACUUCUGGAAACAUCCAGCACUAAAAAGAAAUGAGACUGCAGAAAGUGGAGGGCCGCAGAAGCAGCAGCUCACAGGCUUUUUCGCAGGGGCCUGUCUCAGCCAGCGUUCAAAGACUAGUAAUGCAUAAACAUUGCUUGUCCUGGGGGGAAAUAAAGAUUUUACCAAUACUACAUCUCUUCCAUUUUUACCCAUUUCCUUUACUUGAUCCUAUUUUUACUUGGUCAAAGAAACCCCUGUAUCAUAUACUCAGAAUUUCCUCUCAAUUAUAAGUUAAAAAAAAAAAGUCAGUAAAAGACAAAGUGGGAAGAGUUGAAGCACUGUCCAGAAACUAUAGUAAUAGUAAUAGAAAAAGAAGAAGGAUAGUGAAUUGAUCUUAGCAAAUUUGCUCUGCCACUAAUUUGCUAGUCAAGUGACCCUAUUUUCCUGCCUCUGUUUCUUUAGUAAAAUGUGGGUGUUAUCAUAGGUGACCCCAGAUCCUGAAGUUCCUUUGUGUGUGUAUGUAGGGGGUGGUGAGAUUAAAAAAUUUGAUUCAAAUAAAUUUCCAUUCACUGUACGGAUCAAUAUUUAAUUCCCUGCCUGUUUUAAGCUGAGGAAUACAUGUCUGAACAUACAUUUCCUCAUCCUAAAUCCCUUUGAUCCUCUCAUAAUGCGCAAAGUGCAGUGUUGAUGUCUGGCAGGCUUUGUGUUCAGUUUGUACCAUUUGCAAAUGUAGUGAGGAUUACAGUGGAAUGGAGGAAAGAAUGGCUGCAGGAUUUCUUGGACCAGAGAAACUCACACUUCUCUUUCCAUUUUCACUCUCAUUAGCACACAACUUUUAAAAGUUGGCCUGGGCACAGCAACACUUUCACACAUCCAUACUAAAAUCCAUGCUAAUCUUUCCCAUGGGAUGUAAUUCAAUUGAAUUGACAUUCUAAUAAAAUACUGGCGAAGACACAAUCACAGUUUCUCUGCAAUGCAUCAUUAAAAUAGCACCAUGCAGUUGCUUACACUUCAAAUAAUGGCUUCCUACAUAUUGUUGGUUAUGAAAUUUCAGGGUUUUCAUUUCUGGAUGUUAAUAGAACGUUUAAAAACUACCCUUUUUAGCAAAGUGGUUGUGAUCUUGGUUUGUCAUUGCUAGGAAUGUGCUAAAGCCUAAGUCUGCUUUCAGAUUGGUCCUGGGCAGUAACUUAAUGUAUCAAAAACUGCCUUCAAAUCUGCGCUUUCUGUUGAUAGUUUACUGAGCCCCCUGUCCUACCUUGAAAUCACUGGCACAGAUAUACAUGUGCUUAGGAGUAGUUUGAAUGUACCAUCUACAUUUGGGAAGUCUUAACUAUCUUCUAAAAGAUCAAAGAGUAAGAGAUGAUUUACCUUGGGUAAUGAAACUCAGGUUUUGCUAUUGUUUUUGUUCCGAAGUGUUUUAUACUGAUUAAGCAACCCCAAUUUAGCACUGUCAUUGAUAACUGUGCAGAAAUACUAUCCACUUCGGGUUCCUUCAUUUCACUUAAAACCUAUGGUUGCUAAAUGGUUGAUACUCUAGGUUAUGAAUCAAUCUAUAGUCAAACCAAACAAUUCCUCAUUGACAGUUUUUGUUUAAUGGCCGAGAACACCUGAAAUCUGGAUAAAGGAGCUGGAAAGGAAGAGUGGGCCCCUUUGUGGAGUCCUACAUAUUUUAGGUAAAGCUUGAGUAGUUGGUCCUCACCUAUCUUAUGGAGCUAUUUUUAGCAGUGCCCUUAGCUAGAUGUAUUUACUCAUGGGGCAUAACCUUACUGAUAUGUACAUUUGUAAUAUUAACAGUCUCUGACUUAGGAGUGUGGUCUCAGUCCUAAGAAAGUGGGUAAAGCUUAUUAUUGAAGUUGGGAGAGGUCACAUCAUUUACUGGAGCUCAAGGCAUUUAAUCAAUAAUGAUUCACACAUGAACUCUAAACUGGGUUUACCCUCCAAAGUGGAGAUAGGUCCUGGGUGCCCAGACCAGUGAGGAGGGGGAGGAUUGAACUGUGAAGUGGAUUGAAGUAUAUUCCCUACAAGUAUUUAUCUUUGAACAGCGCUGUAUAUUUAGGUAGAGUACUGUCAGGCAGGCAGAAUGAAACAACAUGGCACUCGCCACUCACAACCAGGAACCAAACAGGAAAGAAUCCAAGUUCUGUGUUUACAGAGCUUUCAUGCUCAGUAAAAUGCAUAAGUACUUUUAUUAGGGUUCUUGAAAUUAGAAAACCAUCCUCCUAUUUUGCUUUCAUUUUCCUUUGGGAUUUAAAUAAAGCACUUCUACCCCUCCUCUCCCCCCCCCCACACACAAAUCACACUCUCUUUUGGCUGUGUUAAUAAAAAUUAGGUCCAGGAGACAGAAGGGGCACACAUAUAUGUGGGAACUGUACAGAGUGAACAGUAUUGGAAAAAGAAAAUUCAGCUCCAGACAGAAACUAAAUGGAGAUGUGAAAGAGCAAGGCUAAGGUAGACUUAUAAGCAAUUGAACAUUUCUCAUUUGGUUUACAGUGAGAAGUGCUGACUCACCAGAUCAAGAGUAUUUUAAAUGUGAAUUCUGUCUCCUUACCAGCUGUUUCAAUUAGGCAAGGUAGCUGUGUAACAAAUAGACCCCAGGAUAAAUGAUGGCACACAGAAUAGUCCACAAAAGUUGUUGGUUGGAGUAUAGUGAUGGCUGUUCUCCAUGCUGUUACUCUAGGACCCUGGCUUCCCUUGUCUAUGGCUCCACUAUCCCCUAGGCAUAAUCUUCGGCAUCUAGGUAGAAGGGGGAAAGUAGGGUCAAGGGAGCAUCUUGCCUAAAAGCUUUGAGCUGAAAUUGGCACACAUAAUUUUUGUUCACCUUCUCUUGGCUGGAACUCAGCCUUGUGCCCCAACCUCCUCAUGAGAAAAUCUAGGGUAUACAGCCUAGCUGUAUGACAAGGAAGAGGAGGGAAUGGAGCCACAGUGCACAACUAGCGGCCUGAGCCACAUCAUCUUGUUGUCCCAAAUGCUGUAAUCGCAAUAGCAAAUAUUUAUAAGUGCUUAUUAUGUGCUAAAGACGUCAC
rnacentral:lncRNA from 1 species